CCCGCUGAACUUAAGCAUAUCAAUAAGCGGAGAAAAAGAAACUAACAAGGAUUCCCCUAGUAACUGCGAGUGAAGCGGGAAAAGCUCAAAUUUAAAAUCUGGUGGUCUUUGGCCAUCCGAGUUGUAAUUUAGAGAAGCGUCUUCCGCGCUGGACCGUGCACAAGUCUCCUGGAAUGGAGCGUCAUAGAGGGUGAGAAUCCCGUCUUUGGCAUGGAAUCCCAGGGCUUCUGUGAUGCGCUCUCGACGAGUCGAGUUGUUUGGGAAUGCAGCUCAAAAUGGGUGGUGAACUCCAUCUAAAGCUAAAUAUUGGCGAGAGACCGAUAGCGAACAAGUACCGUGAGGGAAAGAUGAAAAGCACUUUGGAAAGAGAGUGAAACAGUACGUGAAAUUGUUGAAAGGGAAACGCUUGAAGUCAGUCGCGUCGACCGAGACUCAGCCUUGCCUUGGCUUGGUGUACUUCUCGGCUGACGGGUCAGCAUCGAUUUCAAUCCUCGGAUAAUGGCAAGGGAAAGGUAGCACCUUUUUAGGUGUGUUAUAGUCCUCUGUCGCAUGCGAGGGUCGGGAUCGAGGAACUCAGCGCGCACCUCAGGGUGUCGGGGCCGCUUGGCCCACGUUUACGUGCUUAGGAUGCUGGCGUAAUGGCUUUAAACGACCCGUCUUGAAACACGG
rnacentral:rRNA from 1 species